UUUAUACUUCCUCCGUCCGAAAAUACUUGUCAUCAAAAUGGAUAAAAGGAGAUGUAUCUACAUGUAUUUUAGUUCUACGUACAUCCCUUAUUAUCCAUUUUGAUGACAAGUAUUUUCGGACGGAGGGAGUACAUC
rfam:Triticum aestivum genome assembly, contig: Triticum_aestivum_CS42_TGACv1_scaffold_145925_2BS